rnacentral:rRNA from 1 species
UACGUAGGCAGCAAGCGUUGUUCGGAGUUACUGGGCGUAAAGGGUGUGUAGGCGGUUGUUUAAGUUUGGUGUGAAAUCUCCCGGCUCAACUGGGAGGGUGCGCCGAAUACUGAAUGACUAGAGUGCGGGAGAGGAAAGUGGAAUUCCUGGUGUAGCGGUGAAAUGCGUAGAUAUCAGGAGGAACACCGGUGGUGUAGACGGCUUUCUGGACCGUAACUGACGCUGAGACACGAAAAGCGUGGGUAGCAAACAGG